UAAUGUAUGGGGAUCUGCCCGAUAGAGGGGAAUAACUACUGGAAACGGUGGCUAAUACCGCAUAAUGUCUACGGACCAAAGCAGGGGCUCUUCGGACCUUGCACUAUCGGAUGAACCCAUAUGGGAUUAGCUAGUAGGUGGGGUAAAGGCUCACCUAGGCGACGAUCUCUAGCUGGUCUGAGAGGAUGAUCAGCCACACUGGGCUGAGACACGGCCCAG
rnacentral:rRNA from 1 species